GGCCAGGGCUCAGUGGUACAGCAUCUGCUCUGCAUGUAGAAGGUUCCAGAUUCAGUCCCUGGCAUUGCCA